rnacentral:tRNA from 1 species
GUUGAGAUGGCUGAGUUAGUCUAAGGUGCCAGAUUAAGGUUUUGUUCCGAAAGGGCGUGGGUUCAAAUCCCACACUCAACA